AUGGCGACCGGCGCACGGGUGAGUAACACGUAUCCAACCUCCCGAUGACUCGGGGAUAGCCUUUCGAAAGAAAGAUUAAUACCCGAUGGCAUAGUUCUUCCGCAUGGUAGAACUAUUAAAGAAUUUCGGUCAUCGAUGGGGAUGCGUUCCAUUAGCUUGUUGGCGGGGUAACGGCCCACCAAGGCAUCGAUGGAUAGGGGUUCUGAGAGGAAGGUCCCCCACAUUGGAACAGAGACACGGUCCAAACUCCUACGGGAGGCAGCAG
rnacentral:rRNA from 1 species